GACGUAGGGCGCGAGCGUUGUCCGGAUUUAUUGGGCGUAAAGAGCUCGUAGGCGGCUUGUCGCGUCGUCCGUGAAAACCCACAGCUCAACUGUGGGCUUGCGGUCGAUACGGGCAGGCUAGAGUUCGGUAGGGGAGACUGGAAUUCCUGGUGUAGCGGUGAAAUGCGCAGAUAUCAGGAGGAACACCGGUGGCGAAGGCGGGCCUCUGGGCCGAUACUGACGCUGAGGCGCGAAGCGUGGGGAGCAAACAGG
rnacentral:rRNA from 1 species